AUACGUAGGGGACGAGCGUUGUCCGGAAUUACUGGGCGUAAAGGGCGCGCAGGCGGAUAUUUAAGUCAGCUGUAAAAGGCAUGAGCUCAACUCAUGUAUGCGGUUGAAACUGGGUAUCUAGAGUGCUGGAGAGGUAGGCGGGAUUCCCGGUGUAGCGGUGAAAUGCGUAGAUCUCGGGAAGAACACCAGGGGCGAAGGCGGCUUACUGGCCAGCAACUGACGCUGAGGCGCGAAAGCCAGGGGAGCGAACGGGAUUAGAUACCCCGGUAGUCCUGGCCGUAAACGAUGAAUGCUAGGUGUGGGUGUCGAGAGGCAUCCGUGCCGGAGUUAACGCGAUAAGCAUUCCGCCUGGGGAGUACGAUCGCAAGAUUGAAACUUAAAGGAAUUGACGGGG
rnacentral:rRNA from 1 species